UACAGAGGGUGCGAGCGUUAAUCGGAAUUACUGGGCGUAAAGCGCACGUAGGUGGCGACGUAAGUCGGGUGUGAAAGCCCCGGGCUCAACCUGGGAAUUGCAUUGGAUACUCUCCUGCUAGAGCACUGGAGAGGAGACUGGAAUUUACGGUGUAGCAGUGAAAUGCGUAGAGAUCGUAAGGAAGACCAGUGGCGAAGGCGAGUCUCUGGACAGUUCCUGACGCUGAGGCACGAAGGUCAGGGGGAGCAAACGGG
rnacentral:rRNA from 1 species